rnacentral:rRNA from 1 species
UACGUAGGUGGCAAGCGUUGUCCGGAUUUAUUGGGCUUAAAGGGCGCGUAGGCGGCUUUGUAAGUCAGUGGUGAAAUAUGGCAGCUCAACUGUCAAGGUGCCAUUGAUACUGCGGAGCUUGAGUACAGAUGAGGUAGGCGGAAUUGUCGGUGUAGCGGUGAAAUGCUUAGAUAUCGUCAAGAACACCGAUAGCAAAGGCAGCUUACUAGGCUGUAACUGACGCUGAGGCACGAAAGUGUGGGGAUCAAACAGG